rnacentral:rRNA from 1 species
CCUACGGGAGGCAGCAGUGGGGAAUAUUGGGCAAUGGGCGCAAGCCUGACCCAGCAACGCCGCGUGAAGGAAGAAGGCUUUCGGGUUGUAAACUUCUUUUGACAGGGAAGAGCAGAAGACGGUACCUGUCGAAUAAGCCACGGCUAACUACGUGCCAGCAGCCGCGGUAAUACGUAGGUGGCAAGCGUUGUCCGGAUUUACUGGGUGGAAAGGGCGUGUAGCCGGGCUGACAAGUCAGAUGUGAAAUCCGGGGGCUCAACCCCCGAACUGCAUUUGAAACUGUUGGUGUUGAGUAUCGGAGAGGCAGGCGGAAUUCCUAGUGUAGCGGUGAAAUGCGUAGAUAUUAGGAGGAAAACCAGUGGCGAAGGCGGCCUGCUGGACGACAACUGACGGUGAGGCGCGAAAGCGUGGGGAGCAAACAGGAUUAGAUACCCCUGUAGUC